rnacentral:rRNA from 1 species
AUUGAACGCUGGCGGCAGGCUUAACACAUGCAAGUCGAACGAUGAAGAUAUAGCUUGCUAUAUCGGAUUAGUGGCGGACGGGUGAGUAACACUUAGGAAUCUACCUUUUAGCGGGGGAUAGCUCGGGGAAACUCGAAUUAAUACCGCAUAAUUUCUACGGAAUAAAGAGGGCUUUUAGCUCUCACUAGAAGAUGAGCCUAAGUAAGAUUAGCUAGUUGGUGGGGUAAAAGCCUACCAAGGCGACGAUCUUUAGCUGGUCUGAGAGGAUGAUCAGCCACACUGGGACUGAGACACGGCCCAGACUCCUACGGGAGGCAGCAGUGGGGAAUAUUGGACAAUGGGGGCAACCCUGAUCCAGCCAUGCCGCGUGUGUGAAGAAGGCCUUUUGGUUGUAAAGCACUUUAAGCAGUGAAGAAGACCUAUUGGUUAAUACCCAAUAGCGAUGACAUUAACUGCAGAAUAAGCACCGGCUAACUCUGUGCCAGCAGCCGCGGUAAUACAGAGGGUGCAAGCGUUAAUCGGAAUUACUGGGCGUAAAGCGAGCGUAGGUGGUUAAAUAAGUCAGAUGCGAAAGCCCUGGGCUCAACCUAGGAACGGCAUCUGAAACUAUUUAACUAGAGUAGGUGAGAGGGAAGUAGAAUUUCAGGUGUAGCGGUGAAAUGCGUAGAGAUCUGAAGGAAUACCGAUGGCGAAGGCAGCUUCCUGGCAUCAUACUGACACUGAGGCUCGAAAGCGUGGGUAGCAAACAGG